rnacentral:ncRNA from 1 species
GAUAACUGGUUUGUGGUGACCAAGCGUUCAUAGCGACAUUGCUUUUUGAUCCUCCGAUGUCGGCUCUUCCUAUCAUUGCAAAGCAGAAUUCACCAAGCGUUGGAUUGUUCACCCACUAACAGGGAACGUGAGCUGGGUUUAGACCGUUGUGAGAGAGGUU